GGGGGUAAAUUAAUAAAUAAAAUUAUAAUAAAAUAAAUUUUAAUAUUAAAAAUAUAUGGGGGUUAAAGUAUUUUUAAUAGAAAAAAUUUAAAAUUUUAUAGUUUAUUAGUAUUGUAAAAGAAUUUUGAAAUAUUUUGAAAAUUAAAUUGUUAAAAAGUAAAUUUAAUUUAUUGUAUCUUGUGUAUCAGAGUUUAUUAAAUAAAGUUUAUUUGUUUAAGAUUCUCGAAUUUGAAAGAGUUAAUUAAUUAUGAAAUUUAUUGUUUCAUAAAUAUUUUUAAUAAUUAAUUGGAAAUGAAAUGUUAAUCGUUUUUAAAUAUAUCUAGUUUUUUUAGAAAAAAAUUUAAUUUUAAAUUAAUUAAAAAAUAUAUUUAAUAAAUAAAUAUAUUUUUUAUUUAAUUUAAUAUUUUAAGGGAUAAGCUUUAAAUUAAAUUAUUAUAAUUAAUUAAAUUUAAAUUUAAAAAUUUUAUAAUUUAUAUUGUUAAUAAAUUUUAAUUUAUUAUAAAUAAUUUUAAAUAAAUUUAAAAUUUAAUUAAAAUUUAAUUUUUUAUAAAAAAAUAUUUUUUAAUGGUAAAAAUUUAGUUAUAAUGAUAAAAUUAGUAUAUAAAAAUAUAACUAAAAUUUAAUAUUAAUUUUAUAAUAAUUAUUUUAAAGGAACUCGACAAAUUAAUAUAAUUUAAAUUUAUAAUUUUAAUUAUUUUUAUAUUCACCUGUUUAACAAAACAUGUCUUUUUGAAUAUAAUUUAAAGUCUAAUCUGCCCACUGAUUUAAAAUUAAAGGGCUGCAGUAUAUUGACUGUACAAAGGUAGCAUAAUCAUUAGUCUCUUAAUUGGUGACUUGUAUGAAGGAUUGGAUGAAAUAUAAAUUGUCUCUAAAGUAUAUAAUUGAAUUUAAUUUUUUUAUUAAAAAGUAAAAUAAUUAAAAAGACGAGGAGACCCUAUAGAGUUUUAUAUUUGUUUAUUUAAUUUAUUUAUAUAUUUAUAAAUUUAAAUGAAAUAAUUAUUUUUAUGGGGGUGAUAAAAAAAAUUUAUUUACUUUUUUUUUUAUUUAAUCAUAAAUAAGUGAAUUUUUGAUCCAUUAUUAAUGAUUAUAAGAUUAAAUUACCUUAGGGAUAACAGCGUAAUUUUUUUUUUUAGUACAAAUAAAAAAAAAAGUUUGCGACCUCGAUGUUGGAUUAAGAUAAAAUUUAAAUGCAAAAGUUUAAAAUUUUGAUCUGUUCGAUCAUUAAAAUCUUACAUGAUCUGAGUUCAAACCGGUGUGAGCCAGGUUGGUUUCUAUCUUUUAAUAUUUUUAAUAUUUUAGUACGAAAGGAUCAAAUAUUGUAAUUAAAUUAAAAUAAUUUUGAAUAUUAUUAAGUUAUAAUAAAUUUAUA
rnacentral:rRNA from 1 species